rnacentral:rRNA from 1 species
GACGUAGGGCGCGAGCGUUGUCCGGAUUUAUUGGGCGUAAAGAGCUCGUAGGCGGCUUGUCGCGUCGAAUGUGAAAACCCACGGCUCAAUGUGGGCUUGCAUUCGAUACGGGCAGGCUAGAGUUCGGUAGGGGAGACUGGAAUUCCUGGUGUAGCGGUGAGAUGCGCAGAUAUCAGGAGGAACACCGGUGGCGAAGGCGGGUCUCUGGGCCGAUACUGACGCUGAGGAGCGAAAGCGUGGGGAGCGAACAGG